rnacentral:lncRNA from 1 species
CUGAAUUUGAAUAUGUGAAUUCUUUUUGAGAAAACAGAUCUUGAUGGUGAUGAGGAUUAAUCUUGACUGCAAUGCUUGUUGCAGAAAAAUGAGAAGAAUCCUUCUCAAAAUGAAAGGUGACUUAUGUUAGUGAAUAUUUUCUUCUGAUUGCCAGUUAAUAACUCGAUACUUAUCUAUUCUCUUUUUCAUUGCAUUGUUCGAAGAAAUUGAGACGCACUUGAUAGAGAAGCAAUAUUGCAGGGUAAGCGUCUGUGGAAGGUUCAUUCCAGCAGAUGUAGCGAUAAAAAUAAGGAAGAAGAUGAAGCGUAGGGUCGAGAUUCUGGACAUUCAAGAAUACAGCAAUAUGGAAUGACAUACAGAACAAAUGCAAGUCCAAAUCCCAGGCCAUGUCCUAACACAGCAUGCAUAGAAUUUUCUGAACUUAUAAUUCCAUUAAACAAAAUUGUGCACAUAUUCCAAGACAGAAUGACAGAAAGAGACACUGACUGAUCCAUUAGUUUCCAAAAUAUAGUUGUAAA